rnacentral:rRNA from 1 species
UACGUAGGGUGCAAGCGUUGUCCGGAAUUAUUGGCGUAAGAGCUCGUAGGCGUCUGUCGCGUCUGCUGUGAACUCAGCUACUGAGCUGCAGUGGUACGCAGCUAGAGUCGUAGGAGAUCGAUCUGUGUAGCGUGAAUGCGCAGAUAUCAGAGACACGCUGCGAGCGCACUCUGACGUACUGACGCUGAGACGCGAGCGUGGAGCGACAGAUAGACCGCUAGUCGAGACAGUCGUCUGCUACGU